UUUCUUCCCAUUGAUUGAAAAGCUGUAUGUUAAUCUCCCUGAUUCUUCCCCCAUUUCAGCAAACAUCAGGCUGUACUACAGGGUUUGGCAUCUCCUGGAAGGCCAGGAAACCUUUUGGAGGCUUUACUUUUGAUGGAGCAUUGGAAUACAAUGCUUGGAAAAGAAAGCAAACCAUCUUCUGUCAUGAGAUCAAGGAGGGAACUGCUGUUCACCCUCUUUUGCAGAUGGAUGGCUGCACAACCAGGGCCCAAGCUAAAAGCAAUGGGACUGAUAUUCUUUUUGCAUUAUCAUAUGGCUUCAGCCCCAAUAAACUUGACCGAUACUUAAUGUAAGUGACAAAUGAGCAAAAUCUGCUGCAUGCAGUGGAUAUUUUACUGAUUUCUAUUAUGUCCUUUUUUUUUUUCCCCUCUCAUGUUAAUGAAAGUAGAAUUUAUAUAUUCUUACUGUCCAAAAAGAAAACACAUAGCCAGGGAAGAUGCUGCAGGGUUUUUUCUACACAAAGAAAUGGUGAUAUUCCCCUAUGCUAGAUUCAUAAUGAAUGUCAGUUUUGAUCUGUUGGUGUGCGUUUGGGGGUGGCCACUACUUAAACGUUCGUACUUAAAGCAUUAAAACAUUUUGUAAACUACUGUAGCUGAGAGCAUUAGGUAUACCUACUAAGAUAGCAUAAAAAUUGGUGAGUGGGUGUGGAGAUGGAAAAGGACAGAAAAUUAUUUAAAAAUAAAAUUUAAAAAAGCAAACCUGGGCA
rnacentral:lncRNA from 1 species